UAACCACAUAAAAUGAGCCGUCACUGGCCCACCGGUCCCUCUCCUCCUUGUUUGGCCGCAGUUGAGGACAACUGUUGGGUUGGCCGAAUUGUCAACACUUUUCACACGGUUCUCUGCAGUGACCUUGAUACCAAGGUGAUGUUCCCGAGAUGUAUUCUGCUGCUCCAGAACGUUGAGUAGAGUUUAAAUACAUUUUGAAAGUUUAAGUGCCACCUACAGCGAUGAUAUUUAGUCAACACCUCAAGAGAGUUUUACAAAUACAUACCAUACAAGUGUAAUUGUGUGGCAGUAGAUGCUAUACACUGAAACGAUGCGGGGGGAGUAGGGCUUAUAGAGAAUCUAAAUUUUGAAAUAAGGCGCUCAUAAAUUAUGGACUCUUGCAUGUUUUGGGGUGAAGGGGUUUUAAAAAGUCUAAAUUGACUUUCUUGAGAUUAGAACUUCAAUUUUGUAACCUCCCCACUUUUCACUGUUCAUCUCGUGUACUAAAACAUUAAUAUGAAAUGUGUUAGUGGCAAUUUCUUUUUGACAGGUGGUAAGUUUAGGGUGAAUGUGGCAUUCCUCAUCCCAAUGUUUCCCCUCAAUCAUGCAUAGUCUUGUCCAAUCUGACUGGAGUUUUGUGUACACGCCUCAAACUUGUCUAAUAAAAUGAUUUUGUU